GAUGAACGCUGGCGGCGUGCCUAAUACAUGCAAGUCGAGCGAAGCGGGGACGGGGGAGUAACACGUGGAGAAACGCCUAUAAGACUGGGAUAACUUACGGAAACCGGAGCUAAACCGGAAACUUAUAGAUGGAUCCACGCUGCAUUAGCUAGUUGGUAAGGUAACGGCUUACCAAGGCAACGAUGCAUAGCCGACCUGAGAGGGUGAUCAGCCACACUGGAACUGAGACACGGUCCAGACUCCUACGGGAGGCAGCAGUAGGGAAUCUUCCACAAUGGGCGAAAGCCUGACGGAGCAACGCCGCGUGAGUGAAGAAGGUCUUCGGAUCGUAAAACUCUGUUAUUAGGGAAGCGGUACCUACUCAGAAAGCCACGGCUAACUACGUGCCAGCAGCCGCGGUAAUAC
rnacentral:rRNA from 1 species